CUUUCCUUCAGUCAGCAUUAGGGUUUUGAACCCUAAACUGAACUCUUUCCUUUAGUCAGCAUUAGGGUUUUAAACCCUAAACUGAACUCUUUCCUUCAGUCAACAUUAGGGUUUUAAACCCUAAACUGAACUUUUCCUUUAGUCAGCAUUAGGGUUUUAAACCCUAAAUUGAACUUUUCCUUUAAGUCAGCAUUAGGGUUUUAAAUCCUAAACUGAACUUUUUCCUUUAGUCAGCAUUAGGAUUUUAAACCCUAAACUGAACUCUUUCCUUCCAGCCAACAUUAGGGUUUUAAAAUCUAAACUGAGUUUUUCCAUGCAGUCAGCAUUAGGGUUUUGAACCCUAAACUGAACUUUUUCCUUCAGUCAGCAUUAGGGUUUUGAACCCUAAACUGAAUUC
rnacentral:lncRNA from 1 species